rnacentral:rRNA from 1 species
CCUACGGGAGGCAGCAGUGGGGAAUAUUGGGCAAUGGGCGCAAGCCUGACCCAGCAACGCCGCGUGAAGGAAGAAGGCUUUCGGGUUGUAAACUUCUUUUCUGAGGGACGAAGAAAGUGACGCUACCUCAGGAAUAAGCCACGGCUAACUACGUGCCAGCAGCCGCGGUAAUACGUAGGGGGCAGGCGUUAUCCGGAUUUAUGGGGUGUAAAGGGUGCGUAGGCGGAAUGUUAAGGCAGAGGUAAAAGCCCGGGGCUCAACCCCGGCGAGCCGUUGAAACUGGCUGUCUUGAGAUGUCGAGAGGUAUGCGGAAUGCGCAGUGUAGCGGUGAAAUGCGUAGAUAUUGCGAAGAACUCCGAUUGCGAAGGCAGCAUACCGGCGGGGAACUGACGCUGAGGCACGAAAGCGUGGGUAUCGAACAGGAUUAGAUACCCCAGUAGUC